rnacentral:lncRNA from 1 species
CACAGAACUAAGGCGCUGCUGACGGAGCUGCAAGAGUCUGGGCCGGCGGCGGGCUGCAGGAGAGGCGAGCGGGACGGGGAGCUGCCCGGUGCAAACGGGCCGCAGAUUCUGGAAGAAACAUGAACAAAAUGAAUUGUAUUCUGCUCACUGUCUUCAUUGUUCUGAGUGCUUAUUGCAGUUCUGAAUUGGAGGACAAGGAGAUAAAGACCUUGGAAAUAUCUGGUAGAGGCAGAUUUAAAACUUCCAUAGGGU